UUAGUAGAGUUGUAGCUAUUUAUCAGAAUAGGAUUUUAUCAGUAUCAGUUGAACUGAUAGCGGAAGAUAGUCAUAUUGAUUAACAAACAAAAAAAAAUGACUCAUUGGGCUCUGUUUGGAUCGAUAAGCGAUAUCACACCCCUCCUAGGUAAAGGGGAAUUUCUAGGUUCGGAAUCACCGACAGAGUUGAAUCAGGUCCAGCUAUUCGGUACAACAUCGUGCAAAUCCCUAUCAAUGUUAGUUGUCAGCUGUCUGUAGAUAGCAUUUACGGAUUCCGGCCAAGAUAGGGUUUGUUGUAGUGCACUCAGUUGGUCAGUUGGUUGAAUUCAUUCAGUGAAUGUAGAAUAGCGUAACCCAAUCCAUCCGUAUUCUAAAUUUAAACAAUGUGUGGUAUUUUCAGAUGUUGUUGUGAUUGCACGAAGAAAGUCGUUUGCUGUUGUUGCUCUUGCGCCUUUCAAACGUUGUGCUGCAUCAUAUUUGUAGUGUUGAUUAUUGCGUUGGCCAUCGCUUUGGGAGUUUACUUCGGCAUAUUCCACAAUAGUGACGAUUCUUCGGGUAACGUGACAACCACGACCGUUGCACCUGCGAGACUAAUAACAGCACUGAUGCCGAAACUGGACGAUGCUUAUUCGAACCCAUAUGAGUGAACCGUGUAUUGAGUAAAGUUUGAAAUUGUGUGAAUGUCAUUAUGUAAUUUAAUGUUGAUUAUAAUUAUUAAAACAUAGAUUUAUAA